AUACGGAGGGUGCAAGCGUUAUUCGGAAUCACUGGGCGUAAAGGACGCGUAGGCGGGUUGGCAAGUCAGAUGUGAAAUCCUACAGCUUAACUGUAGAACUGCAUUGGAAACUUCCAACCUAGAGUAUGGGAGGGGGAGAUGGAAUUAGUGGUGUAGGGGUAAAAUCCGUAGAUAUCACUAGGAAUACCGAAAGCGAAGGCGAUCUCCUGGAACAUAACUGACGCUAAGGCGUGAAAGCGUGGGGAGCAAACAGGAUUAGAAACCCCAGUAGUCC
rnacentral:rRNA from 1 species